GGACCCGCACAAGUAGUGGAGCAUGUGGUUUAAUUCGAAGAUACGCGCAGAACCUUACCAACACUUGACAUGUUCGUCGCGACUUUGAGAGAUCAAAGUUUUCGGUUCGGCCGGACGAAACACAGGUGCUGCAUGGCUGUCGUCAGCUCGUGUCGUGAGAUGUUGGGUUAAGUCCCGCAACGAGCGCAACCCUCACUUUUAGUUGCCAUCAUUUAGUUGGGCACUCUGAAAGAACUGCCAGUGAUAAGCUGGAGGAAGGUGGGGAUGACGUCAAGUCCUCAUGGCCCUUACGUGUUGGGCUACACACGUGCUACAAUGGUAUCUACAACAGGAAGCAAAACUGCGAAGUUAAGCAAAUCCUUAAAAGAUACCUCAGUUCGGAUUGCACUCUGCAACUCGAGUGCAUGAAGCUGGAAUUACUAGUAAUCGU
rnacentral:rRNA from 1 species